AGGGCACUACCAGGAGUGGAUCCUGCGGCUCAAUUUGACUCAACACGGGAAAGCUCACCUGGUCCGGACACUGGAAGGAUUGACAGAUUAAGAGCUCUUUCUUGAUUCAGUGGGUGGUGGUGCAUGGCCGUUCUUAGUUGGUGGAGCGAUUUGUCUGGUUAAUUCCGAUAACGAACGAGACUCUAGCCUACUAAAUAGGUGUUCCGAUCCCAUCAGUCGGACGCUCUUCUUAGAGGGACAAGCGGCGUUUAGCCGCACGAGACAGAGCAAUAACAGGUCUGUGGUGCCCUUAGAUGUCCGGGGCCGCACGCGCGCUACACUGAAGGAACCAGCGUGUGUCCCUGUCCGGCAGGACUGGGUAAUCCGUUGAACCUCCUUCGUGAUAGGGAUAGGGGCUUGUAAUUGUUCCCCUUGAACGAGGAAUUCCCAGUAAGCGUGAAUCAUCAGUUCACGUUGAUUACGUCCCUGGCCUUUGUACACACCGCCCGUCGCUACUACUGAUUGGAUGAUUCAGUGAGG
rnacentral:rRNA from 1 species